GCCUGCUGCCAUGCAACGUGUCUUUGCUCCUCCUUCACCUUCCGCCAUGAUUGUGAGGCUUCCCCAGCCAUGUGGAAACCCUUGGAAAUCACAUGCUGUCAUUUCUGCGAUUGGUCAUAACCAGUUCUGAUUCCAUGUUAGAGGAGACUACAUAAGGACACAGGUACCAGAAGAUGAAAAAUUUGGAGUCUAGUGAAGAGAAGUGACUUGCUCAAAGUCACACAGCACAUGAGGAACAGAGCCUCUAUGAUGAAUUUCUUGACAGACUCCUCUUGGUUGUGAUGGUUUCUCACGCUUUUCUUGGUCUUGAAGACGUUGACAAUUUUCUUCCAUUGGAAUUUGCUUGAUGCUUUUCUCAUGAUUACACUGGAACUGUGACUUUUUAGAAGGAAGAUCAUAGAGGAGAAGAAACUGAGGUUCAAGGACUAGUAACCAGCAGCAGAUCACACAGCUGGAAGACAACUAAGAGCAAAAAAAGGCACUUUGCUGAGAAGAAUUCUGAGGUCCUGUUUGAUGUCAACAGAAAGAAAUGCUAUAAUCAAUGUGUAAUGACAGCCAUACUAGUGACAAUAAGACCAGGUCAGAAAACAGAAGACUUUGUCAGACAUUGGGCUGCUUUCUAAAGUACCUCAUUGCCAGAAUUUUCUAAACAAGAAAAAAAGGCAGAAAGCAAGGCAAUUCUUGAAAUGUUAGUACAAGAUAAAGGUGUCCAUUGGGAAAUGAGCAACAUGGCUCUGGGGUUCUCUUGAAAUUCAGAGUUGAAGAAUUUACCAACACUGACACUUCUGGCAUGUAGAGGACACGUGGGAGAAAAUGCAGCAAUUCAAUAAAUUCUACAAACAUUUAUAUGCUACUGAUAGGCUGGGCAUUGCUCUAGGCCUCAGAGAUACCAAAGACUGAUUUAGACUCUUUCUCCAGCUUCAAGGAGCCCAGCGUCUGGCUCAAGACCAGGGAAGAGGGCAAAAAAGAAGCAGAGAGACCAUUUAAGAUACUAUAAUUCAAGUGAGAAAAGCUGGGGGAAUAGACCAAGGCCCAAGGAUCAAGAUGAGGACAUUGGAAGCAGUAAGAAGAUGUCUGUUUUGAAAACUGGCCCGUCACAACAGAUGGAGGACUCAAUGCUUAUGUUGGAGAAGGAAGCUACAUUGUCCCUGAGUUCAUGGAAAUGUCAAGUCUAGAAGAUGAAAGAGUUCAGUUAAUAUCUCCAGAGACCCACAGUGAGUUUCACGCUCCAUAAAAUUGCUUAUGCUUUUAUAUACAGUGCAUGAUCAUCAUCUCUUGGCAACUGCACACAAGUUAAGCACCUUCCAUAUGCAGCAGGGAAACCUCUUCAGCAAGGAGGUCUACCCAUUGGCAUGCACAGAUAAUACUAGCUUUAGUUUUCCUAUGUUGAAAGGAACAUUCACCAUGCUUAAUGAGAGGUGUUGGAUGAAUGCGAGGUGUUUUCAAAAGGGGAAGGGAUGUUCAGAUGCUUGAGGAAACAAGGCACCGAGAGGGUGUAGUGAAAGUCAUUUACUCUCAUUGACAAAUUAUUUUCAUGGCUGUGAACACAGUCUGCAGUGUGCACAUGGUGUGUGUAUGUGUGCGUGUGUGUGUGUGUAAUAUACACACAUAUUUUAGGCUCUGUUAUUGUACUUAUGUUUAAUUUAUAAAGCCCAGUGAACAGCACUACCUUGCCACAGAUAAGCAGACAAUCCUUCAAGUAGCCUUUUCUUCCCUUGUGGAGAGGAAGCCUCAAGAACAUGGAUGUGUCUGUAUGUAUCCCCAAAACCCUCACUUUGUGUGCCAACUUGAUUGUCCUUUUCAUUAGUUUUUAAUACGAUUACUCUGGAGUGCUCUGAAUUGGAAACUAAGAUGGACCAAAUGACAAGAUAUCAAUUUCAUGUUCAAGAUAGUCAAACUUUAGAGUCUUAGAGAAUAUGGGAGAUACUCUUGUCUUAGUAAAAGAACAUUUUGAAAGCACCUAUUAAGAGGAAUUUUAUGGUCAAAUUCCAAAACUGACUUAAAGAUGUAUUUCUGUCUUAUUUCAGAAAAAUUCAUUUCUUUGAUCAGCCUUCCAUGAUGCCUAUAAUUUCCACCCUGAAUAUCAUCAUCCUUUUGGGUUUUAGCAUUUUGCUUUAGAAUGCCUCUAAGAAUAUGUAUCACAUAUAAAGUCAGUAUAUUAAGAGUUGUGUCUUUGGGACACUGUUUCUUAUAGACACUGUUGAGUAAACUGGCACAUCUGAAUAGUCUGUCCACUAAAGGAAAUUGCACAGGGCAGGUAAGUUUUGAUUCAUAAUAAGGAGGAUACAUUUAUUUAAACACUCAUUUAUCCAAGCAUUCCCUGUUUCUUUGUUGAACAGGCUUUAUUCAUUUUUCACUCUGAAUGUCCACAGAAGAUGCUAAUCCUGGGUUUGGUGAAGGCAAUGACACCAUGAGGCACCUAGGUGCACCAGGCACAGAGGGGUCUAAGUUUGCAGAAACAAUAUUGACAGUCAAUAAAAGAUACUCGUGAAAAGGGAAAUCAUGUUAGUCAGAGAAUCAACGUGAAGUCUAUUCAACCUCUACCUUACCUCCAGGUGAUCCUGGCCACUGUCCACAUCACUGGACACUUAGGUGGUGGAGGAGACUGGGAGGUGUCUUGAGACAACUGUCAGGGUGGAAGCCCACCCACUGCUGCACUGUUGCCUGUCCAGGAACACACACCAGGGCUUCUUUCUUACACUGUUGCUGCCUGCUGUGGCCCUCUUGAGGAUUCUGGGUUAUAGGCCCUGAGAUAGGAUUUUAAUAUUAAAGCUAAUAAAAUGAUACUUUAAAAAAAGAUGUAGAAAAGACUAACAGACCAUUAAAGCAAGUACAAAGACCCUGUACUUGAGGGUCAAAGACAAGAUCUUCACAGUGGUCUACCAGGUUCCCAUGAUCUGUGUCCCACCUCCUUUAGCUCCUCAAUACUGAUCCAAAUUCAACUCCCUAUUCACUUGUUUCAGAAGCAUCUCUAUGAACACAGGGAAUGGGGGUUUCCACAGUACUUAGAACAGUGCCUGGAAAACAGUAGGCACUCACUAUGUUUUUUUAAAAGCAACACAUGAAAAAUCGAGGUCUUAGCUACUCUAUUCUAUAACUUACUUGGGCCUCAGAUUGCCCAUUUGGUAAAGAUGAGAUCACUGCCCAUUAUGCAGAGAAGGUGGGAGGAUAAAAAGGAUCAUACACAUAAAGGUCUUGGCAGAAGUGCUCACUUAGGCAGCAUAUGUAUU